rnacentral:tRNA from 2 species
GCCUAUAUAGCUCAGAGGCAGAGCACUUCCUUGGUAAGGAAGAGGUCGGCGGUUCAAUUCCGCUUAUAGGCUCCAG